rnacentral:rRNA from 1 species
AUAUCAAUAAGCGGAGGAAAAGAAACCAACAGGGAUUGCCCCAGUAACGGCGAGUGAAGCGGCAACAGCUCAAAUUUAAAAUCUGGCCCCCUCGGGGUUCGAGUUGUAAUUUGUAGAGGAUGCUUCGGCGUCGGCCCCGGGCUAAGUCCCCUGGAACGAGGCGCCCUAGAGGGUGAGAGCCCCGUACUCACUCGGGUGCCCUUCGCCAUGUGAAGCUCCUUCGACGAGUCGAGUUGUUUGGGAAUGCAGCUCUAAGCGGGAGGUAUAUUUCUUCUAAAGCUAAAUACCGGCCAGAGACCGAUAGCGCACAAGUAGAGUGAUCGAAAGAUGAAAAGUACUUUGGAAAGAGAGUCAAAAAGCACGUGAAAUUGUUGAAAGGGAAGCUCUUGCCGCCAGACUUGCCGCGGUUGCUCAGCCGCCCCCCGGGGCGGUGUACUCUUCCGUCGGCAGGCCAGCGUCGGUUCGGGCGACCGGAUAAAGGCCCUGGGAAUGUAGCACCCUCCGGGGUGUGUUAUAGCCCGGGGUGCAAUGCGGUCAGCCCGGUCCGAGGCACGCGUUCGCGAGGACGCUGGCGUAAUGGCUGCAAGCGACCCGUCUUGAAACACGGACCAAGGAGUCUAACAUCUGUGCGAGUGUUUGGGUCUCAAACUCAUGCGCGUAAUGAAAGUGAACGGAGGUGGGAACCCCCUCGAGGGGCGCACCAUCGACCGAUCCUGAUGUCUUCGGAUGGAUUUGAGUAAGAGCAUAGCUGUUGGGACCCGAAAGAUGGUGAACUAUUCCCGGAUAGGGUGAAGCCAGAGGAAACUCUGGUGGAGGCUCGCAGCGGUUCUGACGUGCAAAUCGAUCGUCAAAUCUAGGAAUAGGGGCGAAAGACUAAUCGAACCAU